rnacentral:rRNA from 1 species
GACGAACGCUGGCGGCGUGCUUAACACAUGCAAGUCGAACGGAAAGGCCUCUUUCGGGGGGUACUCGAGUGGCGAACGGGUGAGUAACACGUGAGUAACCUGCCCUUGACUUUGGGAUAACUUCAGGAAACUGGGGCUAAUACCGGAUAGGAGCUCCUGCUGCAUGGUGGGGGUUGGAAAGUUUCGGCGGUUGGGGAUGGACUCGCGGCUUAUCAGCUUGUUGGUGGGGUAGUGGCUUACCAAGGCUUUGACGGGUAGCCGGCCUGAGAGGGUGACCGGCCACAUUGGGACUGAGAUACGGCCCAGACUCCUACGGGAGGCAGCAGUGGGGAAUAUUGCACAAUGGGUGGAAGCCGGAUGCAGCAACGCCGUGGGCGGGAGGACGGCCUUCGGGUUGUAAACCGCUUUCGCUCAUGACGAAGCUUUGUGUGACGGUAGUGGGUAAAGAAGCACCGGCUAACUACGUG